GGACGUGCCCGGCUGCCCCCGCCACGCCGCUGCCGCCUCAGCCGGCGGCCAUCUCCGCCCCUACCCACCGGCAGCGCGGGGAGGGGAACCGGGGCCGGCUGAGGCGAGGCGAGGCGGGGCCCUGUGAGGAGAAGGCGGUCUCGCAGCUGGAAGAGCCCUCGGUGCUUUCAGGGACGCGGGCAGCACCCACCGCCUGGCCCCAUCUGGCAUCUCCUGGCCCAUCCUCAGUGCCCCUCAGGGAGCAGCCGGAAUCUUUUAAAAGCACAGACAACGUGCAUUCCUUCUUACUCAUCUUGCUUUUUGCAUCUCAGAAGUAAGGGGGAGGCAAGUGUAACAAAUUGCUGUGUUACUCAAGGUAUAGAGGUGAAGCAGUUGGUGUUCUGCUUCCUGUUUUCCUUUCCUCUUGUCUCUGAACUGAUUGAAGAACAUUUUAGCAAGAUGCUCGUGUUUCAAAACAACGUACUCUCAGGUCUCAGCCAGAGAACAUCUAAUCUCAUCCUCCAUAGGCUUAGGGUACGUGAUGUGGUUGAGAGGGUGUUUGGUUAUACUUUUAACUUAGCUACAAAUAACACCUUGUGAUUCAUCCUGUAACAGAUCUCCUCUAAGAUUAAGUUCACAGGCUGAAACUGAACUGUGUUGAAGUCCAGAUGUGAAUCUACUUUCUUCCGGGCAUUAGUUGUAGUAGGGCAUUUAUUUUUUUUCAAAAGAAAACCUUUUUCUAGGACUUACUCUGUGGCAUUUACAUCCUUCACUGGAUCCUCGCUACAGAGUACUUUCAAGGAUCAUGAGCUUAGCCUUUCUUGUGUUUGGUUUCUGCUCUAUAUUAUGAGGAUUAACGAUGCUCACCACCUGUACAGAAUAUUUUGAUCUGUAUCCAAAGCACGACUGGUGUCCACUGAGUAGUUAUCUCUCUCUUUACUUGAACUUGCACUGAAACCAUUUGCAUAGUGCAAUUGCUAACUCUAACUUCUCUCAGAUGUCUUUUAUCAUAAAACAAUUAUUUUUAUGAGUGAUCCUUAUUUUCAUAUAAAAAACUACACAUGGCAAAACGAAUGCCUUCUGUGUCAGCCAGUGAGUAAUGGACUCUUUGUGGGCAUGAUCAGGAAAUGUGCCUUUUGUUUCCCUGCACCUGUUGCUGUACUACAAAUAAAAUCAUCCAAUGUUUUAUUAAAUAAAAUGAGAAGCCCUAAUGAAAUUGUACCAGCCAUUACCAGGAAGUCUAUUGAAAACAUUCAGCAGCUGCUCACUGUGAGUUCGUUUACACUGAUAGAGUUGUUUUGUCUUUCUCCGUAUGUGCUAAGUGGGAAAGCAACAGCACAGCCUUAGCAAACAGCAGAGCCCAUUUCGUAGCUCUAACUCCUUUUAAAGUGCUUGCUCAGAAUCUGUAAUAAGUUGUGAUCAACUGUUAAGAGUGUGUGACUUGUGAAAGUUUGUUAGCAAGCAUUCUGUCUCUUACAGCUAAGUGUCUUCCAAACUACAGCACAGUGGCAAAGCAGGUAAGGAUCUCCUGUGCUAUCUCAUUUUAUAGAGUAGGAUUGUUUCAGAGAGGCUGAGAAUCAAGUGAGUCCACCCUGGGAAAUCCUCUGGAGUGAGCUGGGGGUCACCCUUGUUUAACACAGCCAUGUGCCACCAGUCUUUCUCUAGGCCUAUAACAGAACUGACAUCUCUCUGCUGUAUUUAUAAGCUGAUGUGUGUCACGUAGCUGUGCUGGCAAGUAGGUGGGGACCCUUGCACAGAACAGAUUACUUCCUAGUAAGAGUUGCCUGAUUUAAAAGAAAAGCUAACCCUAUUGAUAAUCCCUAUGCUAAAUGCUGAAGUGUAUUUAAUAUUAAAACUCCUCACAAGUUGCAUCGUAACCAUAGCUGCUUUGUGUACAGGAAAAGGGUUGCUGAAGACUUUCUGCUAAAAAUAGCGUAAUAAAAAAUUGUGUUCAAACUUGCGUGAUGCAAACCUUUCUAGGUUUGCUUUCAGAAAUACCUCAGAUGCAAAGCAGUUGAAUGAAAUGUCAGCCAAGCAGCACGUGGUGCAGCCCUCCCUUCCCACAGCGGCUCAGAAGGCAGCAGCUGCCUGUGAGUGGCGUGAGGCCCUGCGGUGCCCGAGCAUCUCCUGCUGCAGCACUCCCUCUGUACUGCGGAGUUUCCUUCCCUUUUGGUGGGAGCAGAAACAGUAUCACAGAGCCUGUCUCCUGUUCUGUUUGUGACAUUGCAGAUCUGUGCAUCUCCUCUGAACUUAUCCCAGUACAACCCGUGAAGAAUUUAGGCUCAAAUGUAAGGAAGUGAAGCAAAUACAGUCAUCCAGAGCUCAAGCCACAGCGAUGAGCUCCUUCAGCAGGGCAGGCCCCAAAAAGCCCAGGUGCCUGGUGACAAAAGGGAGGACUUGCUGCAAAUUCGGGUUGAUUGAAAGCCCUGUGUUUAGCCCCAGCUGAUGGCAGUGAUAGUCAGGUCCACCUGGUGGUGGAGGAGCUGCUCUGCCCUCACUGUGGUGACUCCAUGGAAGAAAAUGGUGGGUGCUGACACUUUACUCACCCACACUGGUCUUUAUUUUUGCCCAUGUGGUAUUUAGGUUUAUUUUAUCGUGGAAAUCGCUUAGGUUUGUGGCUGGAGUAGACGCAUUGUGGUGCCGGGACAGCAAAGGGGAAGCAGCUUAGCUGCAUGAGGGGAGAAAAGGGCAGGGCACAGCUGCCUGGGGAUGAGCAGGAAUUACUUUAAACUGAGCUCACCUGAACUCAAUCUGCCAACAGAUCCAACAGGGGGCCUGAUGGGGACAUCCAACUCCUGCCAGUAACAGAGCUGCAUCUUGAAGGUGUUUCUCUGUUGCCCAGUGCUGUUGAUGCCAACCAUGAGGUUUGAAUGUUACUUUGCUGUCAUUGUGACUAUCAGAGAAGAAUUAUAUCCUCGGAGCAGCUGGAAAGCAGCCUUGCAGGGCUCAUACAGCUUAGUGCCACAGCGUAUUAUGGGCUGAGAGAAGUGCAGGUGGCUGCAGGAAGAAAGAUGAGGGGCUAAGCCAGGCAACUCUAUUUUCAGCAUUUCCAGGUUUAGUGUUUACAUAUUCAACAUCUAAUGUUUACAUAAGUCAGAUGCUUGUCAGCCUUUCUCCUGAUAUAACAAAAAGAUGACAAGUCUUGGUUAAAAUGUAAUUAAUUAAUUAAUUGAGGAACUGGGGCAUUCUGCAUUUUUCUUUCUGUUUUUCCUUGUGCUGUAUGCAGCUCUAUGAAAGCACAGGAUUGAUUUCAAACAGAAAUUGAAACAGGUCUAAGUGAGCAGUAUAUAGAGAUUCUAUAAAAUAUGUAUUUAAUAAUUAAAAAAUCAGCUCUGCAGAUACGCAGCAGAUGAAAGUAAUGGCUCCCUUGAGCAUCUGCUCCGAAGGGACUUUGCUAUUAGGAACUCACCACAGAUACAAGCAUCCCAACCAGGGCUGCAACAUUUCUACAGAUGAUAAAAAUGCAAUUUUAUUGAAGAAGAUUUUGUUUAAUUAUUUCUUAAUUGGUAGAGAAAGAUCUGUCUAUAAGAAUACUGUAACAUUGAAAGUGAGGUGAGGUUAUUUUAUCUGUACCAGAGCACAGCGUACCUGGGUGGAGCAUCUCCACUAACUACUGAUUUGCAUUAAUACUGAUUAGUGUUUUCCCAGUGAUUAUUUAAUUUCCCCCAAAAGUUAGGAGUAAUCACAUCUUCUUAAAAAGAAAAAUAACUAGAAAAUUAUAUAGGGUAUAUGAAAUACUAGGAGGAAAGUCAGUAAGACCACUAUAAAAUUUUAUUGCAGGAAGGACAUCAUCUUGAAAGUCCUUGUAGCAUUCUUUUAACUGUCUAUAAUAUUUAAAAGCUGUUUAAAUAGCACUCCACUAACUUAUAUAUGUGUUUAUACUUGUUCCCACUAAGGUUAUCCUGCACUCUGGAAGUUAAGUCAACACCGGUAAGAAGAAAGUUGCUUUGAAAUACCUGAUGUAAAAGUGGCCUGAUAAAUAACCAAACAUUGGACUUCACCUGCUGAUAAAACGAAGAAGGCAGACACUUACCAACAGCAAGAAGAAGAAUACUGGCUACAAAACAGCCUGCACCUACACUGAGGUAAUAAACACCAACACGCAUCUCUGCUGGCCAGAGUGGAAACAGGGUUGCAGCUAUAACAGCGAUCACUAAAUAGGAAGAUAAGAACAAACAUAUGAGACACGUGCUUAGUUGUUCCUCGUACAUACACGAAGGUUCUAGGCUUACCAUUUACUCAAGGUAUUGGCUUAGCAAAGUAUGAGUUACACGACAGCAUUUUAGGCCUUGACUGAAAUAUUUUCUAGUUCCCCUGCUGUUUUCAUAGUGCUUACACAGACACCAGGGACCACACUGAGCAAGUCUACAUUGUUAUACUUGAUCAAAAGACAAAGGAGCACCCCUGGAAAGGCAAUAAGCAAAAAGGUGAGCAGGGAGCUGCCAACAACCAGUCCAGCAGGAAGCAGGCACAGAGAUCUGGGUGGAGCUCCUGGUGGCCCAAGGAUUGAUCAGAGAGCUGAAUAUGGCCCCAGGGGAUGACAGUGGUUCCCUAGAAAGGUGGUUCUCACACGGAGAGGAAGCUGCAAAGUAUAGGUCAAGGGCAUUGGACCAGCAGUGAAAUUAGCUGUUAGCUCACUGAUGUGAGUGAACAACAAGAUUACAUUCAAUUUAAAAAAAAAAAAACAAAAGCUGACUGCCUAAACCAAACAAACACAAGGGUCAGAAAGGUAUUAUUUAUAGUUUAAAUUAAUAGCUUUAAUAUCUUUCCCAUUUUUAUAUAACCCACCACAGCGGCCUAUGAAGCAACUUGCUCAUUUGUUUAAACUGAAAUAAACAGCUUGCAAACUUG